CAGUCGCCGCGGUAAUACGUAGGUGGCAAGCGUUGUCCGGAAUUAUUGGGCGUAAAGGGCUCGCAGGCGGUCUUGUAAGACAGGCGUGAAAUCCCCGGGCUCAACCUGGGAAUGGCGCUUGUGACUGCAAAGCUAGAGUGCGGCAGAGGGGGAUGGAAUUCCGCGUGUAGCAGUGAAAUGCGUAGAUAUGCGGAGGAACACCGAUGGCGAAGGCAAUCCCCUGGACCUGUACUGACGCUCAUGCACGAAAGCGUGGGGAGCAAACAGGAUUAGAUACCCCAGUAGUCCCUGUCUCUUAUAA
rnacentral:rRNA from 1 species